GCCGCACCCCGCCCCGAGUGACAGCCGGCCGGGCCUCCCGGUGUCCAGGGGUUGCCGUGCAGCUGACGCACCCUGGUGCGCACCGCGGGACGCCGCGUCCUACGCAGCAGCAGCCGCCGCCGGCAGCCGGGCUGCGGGUGCCGGGCGCUUCCCGGCUCGGGGGGCAGGCGCCGGGCGCUGCUGGAGAACAGGGACACCCGGCCGAGGAGCCCCAGAAGGCCCGCGUGACACUGACCAGUUGCUAUGGCAUCUUACUACGAGAUCCUAGAUGUGUCCCCAAAUGCCUCGCCUGAUGACAUCAAGAAGGCGUAUCGCAAGAAGGCUCUGCAGUGGCACCCUGACAAGAACCCGGAUAAUAAGGAGUUUGCCGAGAAGAAAUUUAAGGAGGUGGCCGAGGCCUAUGAAGUGCUGUCGGACAAACAUAAGAGGGAGAUCUAUGACCGCUAUGGCCGGGAAGGGCUGACUGGGGCAGGAUCUGGCCCAUCCCGUGCAGGCACAGACACUGGCCAGGGUGGGGCCCCUGGCUUUGUCUUCAGUUUCCGUAGCCCUGAGGAGGUCUUCCGGGAGUUCUUCGGGAGUGGAGACCCAUUCUCUGAGCUCUUCGAUGAUCUGGGCCCCUUCUCUGAGGUGCAGAGCCGCCUCUCCCCACGCUCUGGCCCUUUCUUCACCUUCUCCUCCUCCUUCCCAGGCCGCUCUGAUUUCUCCUCCUCAUCCUUCUCCUUCAGUCCGGGCGCUGGGGCUUUCCGUUCUGUUUCUACAUCUACCACCUAUGUCCAAGGACACCGCAUCACCACACGCAGAAUCACGGAGAAUGGGCAGGAGCGAGUGGAAGUGGAGGAGGAUGGUCAGCUGAAGUCAGUUUCAAUCAAUGGUGUCCCUGACGACCUGGCUUUGGGCUUGGAGCUGAGCCGGCGGGAGCAACAACCGUCCAUCAGCUCCCGGGCCGGGGGCGCGCAAUCGCAGCUGACCCCUUCCUCUCUCCGUAAUGACAUUGACCUCUUUGAGGAUGAAGACCUACAGCUGGCCAUGGCCUACAGCCUGUCCGAGAUGGAGGCCUCUGGGCAGAAGCCGGCAGGUGGGCGGGGGGUGCAGCCACGCCGCCGCCAGGGGAGACCCGCGACCCAGGGCCAAGACCCGGGCAUGGGGGGCCACCAGGGCACUCAGGGCGAGGCAGCCAGACCUGCUUCAUCCCCAGAGAAGACCUCUCGUUGCCUCAUCCUCUGAUCACCAACCCCACCUGGUUGCCCGCCCCCCUUAACGCUCAGGCGAGCAGGGUGCGGCCUGGCCUAAGCCCCAGAAAGCCUCUCGCCAUCUUGGUGCUCCAUCUGCAGGUGUCCAGUCUCCCCCCCUGGAGAGUCCACUCAGCCAGGGUUGGGGGGACCCUCAGGUCAUCAGGGGACAGUGGGGAGCCAGGAUGUUCUUUAUGGCACCUGGGACUUUUCUCAGGCGGGGGGUUCUGGCAGGGUCUUCAAUGCCCAGGUCUCUGCCUCCUGUGUGACUGGGGUAUCAAGGAAAGAGACUGGACUCGGCUGGGCAGGGCAGUGGGGUGGCUCUGAGCCUGAGCUACGUCUCAGCUCCCCAGGCAGUCCUGCUGCUCUUACUGUCCACACACCUCACUCCGGUCCUGUGGCCACUGCGUGUGUGCACACUGACCAUCUCUGCUUCCUCCUGGCGCUGCUGCUCCUUCCUUGCUCGCUUGCUCGCAUUUGCUGUCCAGCUAGGACCCCUACUUUCCCCCUCCCCCCCGAGAAGCUGCCUGCGUGGUGCAGAUGUGGCUGUGUCCCCCCCCCCCCCCAAAUAGGCUAGCUAGGUGGGGCGGGCGCCUCUCUGCCCGUCCAGAUUCGGAGCCGGAACCCACUCCUCCUCCCUUCCUCUUGCUGCCUCAGCCGACCCCAAGCCUCAGGACUAGGCAGAGAUGUGUUCUGAGCACGAUGUCCAGGAUCCAGAGUCGCUGCACACUUACAACAGGACAGCACCCGCACCCCUGUGCGCUGGGAAGGGGGACCUUCCAUUCCUCUCCCUGACCCACCCGUGCAGCGCUAGAGCUGGGCCUGAGUGUUGGGGGGCGGGGGCCGGGGGGUAGGUGCCCGUAGUCUGUCUUAGCCUGUGAACUCUAAAACUGGGUGUUUGGUGCUGUUUCUCGGAGACUACAAGUCCCAGAAUGCAA